AGUGAACGCUGGCGGUAGGCCUAACACAUGCAAGUCGAACGGCAGCACAGUAAGAGCUUGCUCUUACGGGUGGCGAGUGGCGGACGGGUGAGGAAUACAUCGGAAUCUACUUUUUCUUGGGGGAUAACGUAGGGAAACUUACGCUAAUACCGCAUACGACCUACGGGUGAAAGCAGGGGAUCUUCGGACCUUUCGCGAUUCAAUUAGCCGAUGUCGGAUUAGCUAGUUGGCGGGGUAAAGGCCCACCAAGGCGACGAUCCGUAGCUGGUCUGAGAGGAUGAUCAGCCACACUGGAACUGAGACACGGUCCAGACUCCUACGGGAGGCAGCAGUGGGGAAUAUUGGACAAUGGGCGCAAGCCUGAUCCAGCCAUACCGCGUGGGUGAAGAAGGACUUCGGGUUGUAAAGCCCUUUUGUUGGGAAAGAAAAGCAGCAGGUUAAUACACCGCUGUUAUGACGGUACCCAAAGAAUAAGCACCGGCUAACUUCGUG
rnacentral:rRNA from 1 species